rnacentral:rRNA from 1 species
GUAUAAGAGACAGCAGCAGCCGCGGGAAUACGGAGGAUCCAAGCGUUAUCCGGAAUCAUUGGGUUUAAAGGGUCCGUAGGCGGUCUUGUAAGUCAGUGGUGAAAGCCCAUCGCUCAACGGUGGAACGGCCAUUGAUACUGCAGGACUUGAAUUAUUGGGAAGUAACUAGAAUAUGUAGUGUAGCGGUGAAAUGCUUAGAGAUUACAUGGAAUACCAAUUGCGAAGGCAGGUUACUACCAAUUGAUUGACGCUGAUGUACGAAAGCGUGGGUAGCGAACAGGAUUAGAUACCCCCGUAGUCCCUGUCUCUUAUAU